AGAGUUUGAUCCUGGCUCAGGAUGAACGCUAGCGGCAGGCUUAACACAUGCAAGUCGAGGGGUAGAGGUUGCUUGCAACCUUGAGACCGGCGCACGGGUGCGUAACGCGUAUGCAACCUACCUUUUACAGAGGGAUAGCCCAGAGAAAUUUGGAUUAAUACCUCAUAGUAUAUAUCUUUCGCAUGUUAGGUAUAUUAAAGUUCCAACGGUAAAAGAUAGGCAUGCGUCCUAUUAGCUAGAUGGUAAGGUAACGGCUUACCAUGGCUACGAUAGGUAGGGGUCCUGAGAGGGAGAUCCCCCACACUGGUACUGAGACACGGACCAGACUCCUACGGGAGGCAGCAGUGAGGAAUAUUGGACAAUGGGCGCAAGCCUGAUCCAGCCAUGCCGCGUGCAGGAAGAAGCAUCUAUGGUGUGUAAACUGCUUUUGUACAGGAAGAGACAUCCCGACGUGUCGGGACUUGACGGUACUGUAAGAAUAAGGAUCGGCUAACUCCGUGCCAGCAGCCGCGGUAAUACGGAGGAUCCAAGCGUUAUCCGGAAUCAUUGGGUUUAAAGGGUCCGUAGGCGGUUUGGUAAGUCAGUGGUGAAAGCCCGCAGCUCAACUGUGGAACGGCCAUUGAUACUGCCAGACUUGAAUUACAAGGAAGUAACUAGAAUAUGUAGUGUAGCGGUGAAAUGCUUAGAUAUUACAUGGAAUACCAAUUGCGAAGGCAGGUUACUACUUGUGGAUUGACGCUGAUGGACGAAAGCGUGGGGAGCGAACAGGAUUAGAUACCCUGGUAGUCCAA
rnacentral:rRNA from 1 species